UCUUUUCCCCAAUUCAUUCUCCUCUCCUCUCUUUCGUUCCCCCAUCCCAUCCAGAUCCCGGGGAAGAAGGGCGCGCGGGGGAGGCCAGAUCGGCGGCGCAAAACCCAGCGCAACAGAGUGGCGGCUCACGCUCGACCGCGGGGUUGUGUCGGGAGGGGCGGAGAUGGCCAGAUCCGGCGGCGCGGUGGGUGAGGCGGCUCGCGCUUGACCCUUAUGGUCUGUGGGGAAGGGAGAAAUGACCAGAUGCCGAGGCAGCGCGGUGCUUGCGCGCGACCUCAGGCUGCACGGGGAGGGUGGAGAAGGCCGGGCCAAAUUCGUGCGUGCUGCGAGGAAGGAGAAGACCACGAGCGACGAGCGACGAGAGGAGGCUACUGGACGCGCGCGGCAGGCGGGUGAGAGGCGAUGCCGACGACGCACCAGUAGAGAGACGCAUCUUGAAAAGCAAGGCAGGAGAUGGCAAUUUGCUUUCACAGCAAACUGCUCAUUCAUGAAAGAUGUGGAACUGCCACAGUAGGUGUUUGCACACUGAGCUGUUGACCCAAAGCAUGAGAUGAUAUAAACAUAACUUGCUCAGGGGCAGCUAACAUUUGGAAGUACUUGUUGCAUUGUCUGAUCCAGCCCACAGGAUCAGUGCCAUCAAAUUUUGGGAAUUCCAGCUUUGGUCCUUUAUGUUGGAAUGCAGGUGUAGGAGGUCUAGUUGGAUUUGCCACAGGAGUGUCUUCCUCACCAGUCAAAUCUGUAGUCUGAAAACCUGGGGGAAACCUACUCAUGUUAACCCUGACCAGAGAUACAUCACCUCGAAGCACCUCUGAAUCCUGUUGCAAUGCGCCGAAAUCGUCCUUCAUGGACAAGACAUCCUGGGCCAAAUUCGUGCGUGCUGCGAGGAAGGAGAAGACCACGAGCGACGAGCGACGAGAGGAGGCUACUGGAUGCGCGCGGCAGGCAGGUGAGAGGCGAUGCCGACGACGCACCAGUUAGAGAGACACAUCUUGAAAAGCAAGGUAUGGUUCUUACCGACCCCAGUGACUAAAUCUUUGCAAGAAGCGGUCGCACGACCAAACCAGAUGGAUAUAUGAGGCAACUUAUUGAACCAGAUACAAAACAUUCCCCUUCUGCCUCUGGGUUGUGUUGCCUAGCAAUUGUGUAUGAUUUGGCAUAUUUUUUUGCAUGUAGAUUUGGCAAUUUCGUACUAUAUCUUACGCAACAGCACAACUGAAUUUUUGGAGAGAGGGACUGAUAAUCAGUUUUCUGAGUUAUCUUUAAAUUUAUGCUAGAGCUUGGGCUCGCGCAGGGGCCAAGGGGCUUGGCCAACUUAUCGAGGAGACUUAGACAUUUAUACUAGGGUUGCGCCUACCCUUCUUACACGCGUUUGUAUGUCUUGCUCACACCGCCUGUCGCGUAUGUGCUUGCGAGACUACUGCUGUAACUUUCAAACUCUAUUCCCUUCUAUCAAUGCAAUGGAUUUCAGGUUUGCUUGGUUGAUUUGUCUUCCCAUAAUGUUGGAAGAAAGCAAAGCGGUUUGUGAUUAGGUAGUAUUAGCUCACAAGCAUGUGCAAUUGUCUCAGAAAAUGAUGUUUCUUAAAAAUUAGAAGAAUUUACAACGCUUAUAAAAGCUUUCACUCUGUCAGCCUAAAGGUUUUAAUCUCUAGAGGUUUUACUUGCAUACUAUUCAAUUAGUACAACAUGCCCUCUCUGAAUCAAUGUUUGGUCCCGAAAUCCUUUCUUCGAGUUAACAACUUAAUUAGUUGUUUUGAACUACUUGUUACUUGCAUCUCCUGAUCUACUAUAGUAAUUUCUGCAACAUGAGUCUGCAUGCUUAUAUAUAGUUCUACAUGUUUAUUAGUUUAUACAUGGUUUACUAAAUCUUUUACUUAAGAGAUAUUUUCUUCAUUUCUGUAGAAUUGGCUGGGCAACCACAAACAAUAUCUGAAGACAAACUGAUAGCUGCAUAGUUUUGCUUUGUUUUCUUUUGUUUACACAUGUUUCCGUUUUACUACUUGCUAUUUGAUAAUUUAUUUGUUCUUGUGUGCUUUCUAUUUGAUAUAUGUAGUUUCUUGACUGACUAAGAUGGUGUAGAGGCUCUGGCAGGAGUAUUUGUAUUUUCUGCCAACAAAUAAGCUAUUACAAAUAAUAACAAAUGCAAUAUUUUCAUACCAAGCUGGGUACAGAAUUAACUUUUCAUAAGAAAAUAAAAUGAACAUACAUUUACCAACAGAAGAACUCAUAGGUUGUGUAUUAUUAUUGUUUAAAAAUAGCAAUACAAGGCCUCACUAACGUUCCUGGAGGGAUGUUUAGGUCUGCAUCAUGAUAGCUCUCCUUCCAAAUUAUUUGACCUGUUUUUUCUACUCCAAGUUUAUUGGCCCAUUUUUUACUUUCUGAGGAUAUUGAUCUGCUUUUGAGCAUACUAAAAUGGUAUAUUUAAUGUCAAGUUCGGUGCUUGUAUCACUAUAUUCUUCAAGAACCUCAUUGUAUCUAUUUAUCCUAGGAUUGAAGAUUAUUGACACAAAAACUUCUGCAAUUAAGAGAAGGUUCAGUUUCACUAUUACCUUUGUUUUCAAAUUAAACGGCAACUCUACUCAUAUUCACGCCAGCAGCAUGCACUUUUUUACUCAACAAGCAAGAGGGAUUAAAUAAAUUGGUGUUCAUCUGAGUUACUUGCUGUCACUGCAUCCAUAUGAGGUUGAUGCAUUCAUUGUUAGUACGCCUCUAUGGGGUUGAUGCAAGAUCAAAUCAGGUUAGGUUGCGUGUGUGGCUGUCUGACAUAGAAUGGAUACAGUUUAACAACUUUCAUUUUAGUUAGCAUGAAGUCUGUCGUUAAUGUAGAUUUUUCUUAACAUUUGUUAUUGCUUAAUGCAAAGAAGCAUCACUGUUAAUUAAUAAAUUUAUAGAUGGUUCUUUGGUUCAGACUGCAGAAGCAACACAUGAUGUUACCACAGUGUUCAGUAAUGUGCAACGAAAUUUGUGAAAAUGUACUUUGGUAAAUAAUCCAGUAAUUUCACCCAGACCUUGCAAAUGGUAGAUAUGGGAGCCAAUGAAACAUCGAUAACAUUUCUAAUCUAUUGUAAGCCUAUCCUAGCAUUUUUACUGUACAAGGAGUUGACUACUAGCACAUUCAUAUGAUCAUCUCUAGAAUCACAAUUAACUCAGCUGCAACACAAAACAGAUCUUCUUCCACUCUUGGGUGUUGUAGCACUGAUUAAAUUUCCUUAGGGUAACUAUUUUACCUUUGCAACCAAUUAAUUGCUACUAAUUUUGGGCAACUUCUCAUUAUCUUUACUAUAAUGGAGUGUUACAAAGGUGGUUUACGAAUUAAAUCAUGAUAUGCAUUUCUCAUAUAUAAACUGUUAAGAAGAAAAUAUAUAUUUUACACAAGUUUGCACAUCGAAUGUUUGCAAACCAUUGCUCCGCACUACUUGCCAUCCCAAUUCUUGAUUCGUGCAGGAGCCGGCCGCUUCUCAGCUAUUUGGAUAUUUGAGCCGUUCCAUGCAAUCUGCCAACCUGACGUGCCCUUAUCAAGGCCGGCCGUUUUUACACCGCAAGGGAUAAAAACCAGCGCCGGACGAAACCUAGCCAUCGCCUCGCACUCGUGCCCCUCCCCUUCGCACUUUCAGCUGCCGCCGCUGCCAUGCUCCCACCCUUCUCCUCCCGUGGCCUCUUGUCGCUGGGCCGCAUGGCUGCGGCGGUCGACCUCCUCCUCGGCGCUCAACAAUCACACGGUAGGGCGAGCACGAGCUGUCUGACAACAGCACCAGAGGGCGCCUCCACAGGGUUGGACAAGAGGAUCUGAGGUUGGUCCACUGUGUGCGGGUGCUCGUGGUUCUGGUCGGUUCCUCCUGCCGCGUCUUCAGUCACCGCUCUGCAGGUCGACCCCUUUUCUCCUUCUCUUCUCAUCUCUCCAGGCCUGUGCUUGCGUUCUUGCAGCCGUGUAUCUUCCUUGUGCUCUUAUUGGUAGAAGCCUGGCAUCUAAGAGCAGUAUCAUUUUCUGCUUGUAUUUUUGUGCUUCCUCACCCUUUGGAAUUGGGGAUUUUUGUCACUUAUCUGGAUUAUGGUGGACCUAUUCCUUUUCUACGUUUCUGCUAUAUGUCCUACAAGUGACCUACUGAUUUGCUUGUUCGAACUACUCACAUGUGCCAUGUUGGAGCUACGAAACAAACCAAUGUUGUUCCAGAUGUGAUUUAUAAAGAUUAUUCGUUGGACUGUAGUUGUAGUGGUUUGCUGUCGGCAAGAUGCAGUCAUUUGUAUGGGAUGCCAGCUGUUGAUUUUCUGUUGGUCUUAUGUGCCACUGGUUGCUUGCAUGCCCCUUUUCUAGGUAUAUUUGGUAGGGUCUGUUCAAAAAAGAUGUAUUAAUUGUAUCAUCUCAGGAAUGAAAGAGUUAGAUAGAAGAAGCCAUGUGGGUAUGCUGAUAGGUCAAGGUGAUGGAUCCUCUUUACUAACAUGCCAUCUGAAUUUAAGCAUCAUCUCCACUCUAACCCCCUUUUCCUGCAGCUUCAGAAGCACCAGCGAUUAUGUGAAUUGGCUUUGGUGUUUAACAAAAGUUAUUAGGGAGAUGGAGCAGUUCCAGCAGAGAGUUAGUUGUCUUCCAGAUCUGUUCCUGUCCCCGUUUCUUCCUCGUGCGAGCCAUUUCCACCGGCCUGUUCUUCGCCUGUGCUUCCAGUGACCAUGUCUGCCAAGCUCCUAAUGGAUCUGGUCAUGGCCACAACCGACGUAGCUUCCCCGGCCACCACCGACGACGCCAGCGAGGUGGCCACGGUGGUCGCUGCCGAAUCCAUGGAGGAGCUCACCCAGGCCUUCUCCUUGUUUUACUCCACGGCUGGGUCUCACCCCGGAUCCAUGGAGGACCAGUGCUAUCUAGCUACGCAAUCCCAUCUAAGGCAAAGCAUCUAGAAUUUUUUGUACGAGUCAAUUUUAUACAGAAUAUAUCUAGGAGGAAGUAAUAUAUGAGUUUUCUUUUAACUUCCUGCUCUUGCUUACUCCAGUAUCUUGUUUGUUGACAAAGGAAUCAACCAACAUUCCCCUGCAGAUGGCAUCCCACACCGUAUUUUUCUGUAUCAUGCAUAUGAAAGGAAUUUUUAAAAUACUAAUACACAGAUUUCUCUUUACCCCUUCUGUAAUUUUAGCUUGUAUAUCUUGCUUGGUGAAAAGAUAUUAUGUCAUCCUACACUGUACUUUCCUGAAACAUGCAUAUGAAAGGAAUCUCUCAAAUACUAAAACACAGAUAUUUCUCUUUACCGGUUCUGUAGUUUUAGCUUCUAAGAAAUGCACAACUACUAUCUAAACCAUUAAAGGUAAAUUUCUAAGCAAGCUAAAGCUGUUGCUUCUCAAGAAUAUGCUAUUUUGCAAAUCCAAAGUUCAGUUAGAGAAGAUAAAUGUUGUACGGGGUUCUUGGAAUGGACUAAGUUAUCUUUUUAUGUCAACAGUCUUAGAUGAUUUCCCUCUGUUGUACAAUCAUUUGGGUUGUUUUUUGCAUAGUAUGUGCAUGCUUGAUAGGAAUAACUAGCUCUCAGAUAAUUCUUGGUGAGGCAUGUCAGCAUGACGUCCAUUCCUCGUGUAAAUAACUGAAUUUGGCAUUUGCAAUGUAUUCUAUGAGCAUGUGUACAGGCCUUGUUAGCUAGAUAAAUUUUCCCUGAUUGUUGUUAGCGGCCUGAUCACCUGUUAUGCUACCCAUUGUCUAAAUGGAGGGCGAAUCUUCUUUCUGAUUCUUGGAGAAUUAAAUAUACUAUCGAGACAUUCACAAAGGGCGUCCCUGAUGCAAGGAUGUACUUGAAUACUCAGGAGACAAGGAAAAAUUGUAUAUGUUACCUAAAUAGGGUUUCCAUGUUAUUUAUUUAUUUGUGCUGCUUUUGUGCAGCAAUUAGAUUUUGUGACACUAAUAUUGUUGUUUGUUGCAGGCACGGUAUUCACAAUAGCGUCCUAUUUCAACGGCUCAAACUGUUGGUCCUCGCAUGGCAAUGUUCCCUGCCGGUGUUCGUGGAGUUGGUCUACAACAAUUUUAUGGCCAGCAACCUUCAACGUUUAUUAACCCACUACAGAUAUAUAGAAAGAAGAGAAGAAGAAUAACCUUGAAGAUUUUGGUGAAGAACAAGAGGAGACGUCACAGGCAAGGAGGGAGGGGAUGUUUGCCUACCGUCAGAGGGUGGGUGAAGGAAGGGAGGAGUAAUAAGACGGUGCAUGCAGAAUUCAACUGGUAUGAAUAUGAAAAUAUGUAGACGGAUGACGUCUAUUGUGGCAUUCACUAAAUAAUUAUCUAUUUGAUUUAUUCACUAAUAUCUGUUUGAAUCAGGCAUGUACACGUGAGGGAGAGAAGAGGAGAGGAACAUUGACAUUUUUCAUGCUUUGGACAAACAUUUUUAUUCAUAGCUUUCUUUUUCCAUGGGAGCACAUGAGCGUGGUGCCGUCGUGGUAGAGCUUGGGAUGAAGGGUGGGUCCAAUAUAGAAUCAGGAGGUAUUAACAUCAAGAUGGGAAAGCGGUUGCCGCCCUUAUCCCUUUACUGGCCGGCCAUAGCGGCAUUGAUCACUGGCUCACUUAAAACACAAGUUGAUGGACUUUGUGAUCAGAGUGAGGGUUGAGUGAGCAGGGGAUGGGAGCUGCGGUUGAGAGUGAGCGGGAUGGAGGUUGCGGUUGGUCUGUUCAGUUACAAAUCUGCCUUGUUGGCUCGGGGGCGUCACAUGCCUCCUCCCCCUUGAUGGUAGUGGCGGAACGACACA